rnacentral:misc_RNA from 1 species
CCGAGUUAUCCAACUCCCAACCCCUGUGAAUUAUACCUUUAAUUGUUGCUUCGGCGGGACUUCGCGCCCGCCGGGGACCCAGACCUUCUGAAUUUUUUAAUAAGUAUCUUCUGAGUGAUUAAAAAAAUGAAUCA